rnacentral:rRNA from 1 species
UGGUAAGGUAACGGCUUACCAAGGCGACGAUCAGUAGCCGACCUGAGAGGGUGAUCGGCCACAUUGGAACUGAGACACGGUCCAAACUCCUACGGGAGGCAGCAGUGGGGAAUAUUGCACAAUGGGCGAAAGCCUGAUGCAGCAACGCCGCGUGAGCGAUGAAGGCCUUCGGGUCGUAAAGCUCUGUCCUCAAGGAAGAUAAUGACGGUACUUGAGGAGGAAGCCCCGGCUAACUACGUGCCAGCAGCCGCGGUAAUACGUAGGGGGCUAGCGUUAUCCGGAAUUACUGGGCGUAAAGGGUGCGUAGGUGGUUUCUUAAGUCAGAGGUGAAAGGCUACGGCUCAACCGUAGUAAGCCUUUGAAACUGGGAAACUUGAGUGCGGGAGAGGAGAGUGGAAUUCCUAGUGUAGCGGUGAAAUGCGUAGAUAUUAGGAGGAACACCAGUUGCGAAGGCGGCUCUCUGGACUGUAACUGACACUGAGGCACGAAAGCGUGGGGAGCAAACAGGAUUAGAUACCCUGGUAGUCCACGCCGUAAACGAUGAGUACUAGCUGUCGGAGGUUACCCCCUUCGGUGGCGCAGCUAA